GACGAAGGAUGCAAGCGUUAUCCGGAUUCAUUGGGUUUAAAGGGAGCGUAGGUGGCCUUAUAAGUCAGUGGUGAAAUCUCUGGGCUUAACCCAGAAAUUGCCAUUGAUACUGUAGGGCUUGAGUAUAGUUCCGUUGGCGGAAUAUGACAUGUAGUGGUGAAAUACAUAGAGAUGUCAUAGAACACCGAUUGCGAAGGCAGCUAACGAAACUAUAACUGACACUGAGGCUCGAAAGUGCGGGGAUCAAACAGG
rnacentral:rRNA from 1 species